UCUUAUCACAAACUUGUUACCAAAUCCAUUCAAAACUGUUCAUGUGUAGCAUACAGCUCUCUGCUGCUGGUUACUUUACCACUUCCUCUGAGAUGUUCUUGUAUGGUCCAAUAAGGUAGGGUGUUAGGAAGGGCUCAGCUGGUCUGCAGUUGGCGAAGAACCCAUAGAGCGACAAAACGGCUGUGGGAAACACCCAGCCAGUGGACUUCAGCUUGGCCCAGGAACCCAUUCUGGUAGGCUACCCCUUAUGUCCCCCUCACACGCACUACCUCUGGGUCUGAGUCCUGUGUACAAAUGGGAUCUGUUGACAGUAGGCAGCAGUAGAUCACUUGGCCAAGUCCUUGUCGGGAAAUUUAGGAAUUUAGUCUGUCUAUGAACUACAUGUGCAUAACUGAGAAUGCAAGUUUUAUAUGAGGGAGACUUUGAGCUAUUGGGAAAUAGUCCCACUGAUGGUAAAAUGAAAGCUUACGUCAGCCUCAGUUAUCAUGACACUGAGUUUACCACGUUUUUCUAGGCUCUAUUGUUGACUUUAUGUAGAUGUUUUGUGCACAGUUAUGGAACAAGUUCUGUCUUUUUUGAACAGGUUAGUUGUGGGUGAGUUGUGUGUUUCAGUCCAUCUGCACAUGCAUCCUAGCCGAGCUCCAGCUAGUCUGUCGCUGUAACAACGCUUUGUUUACAAGGGAUUCUGCUGGAGGAGCGAAGUUAAACUCAAACGAUUCUUUCUCAGAUAUUAUCCACCAGGUAUCAUCCUGGAAUAUGAAAAAGGAGGAGCUUUGAAGACUAAAUUCAUUGAUUUGUUGGAUUUGUCUCCAGUGUGAGUAGACAAUAGUACAAUUCAUGUUUAUGAAUGAGAUGCUGUGUUAGUGAUCAUCAUCUGUACAGGGCUGCUAACUUUUGAAGAAAGCUUGGAGUGAUAUUUGCUAUGUGAAUUGGGGGUCCUCCAUCAGGAAAAUUGUACUGUUUCAUGGCUCAUUUCCUGCAAUUCUAUGUAUUUUGACAUAGCUUAGGCCUUUGACCAAAUAAAUAAAUGAAAAACACUG